rnacentral:misc_RNA from 1 species
GAUGAAGAACGUAGCGAAAUGCGAUAAGUAAUGUGAAUUGCAGAGUUCAGUGAAUCAUCGAAUCUUUGAACGCACAUUGCGCCCGCCAGUAUUCUGGCGGGCAUGCCUGUUCGAGCGUCAUUUCAACCCUCAAGCCCCCGGGCUUGGUGUUGGGGAUCGGCGUGCCCUCGCGGCGCGCCGUCCCCUAAAUCUAGUGGCGGUCUCGCUGUAGCUUCCUCUGCGUAGUAGCAACACUCGCACUGGAUCGCAGCGCGGCCACGCCGUUAAACCCCCCACUUCUGAAAGUUUGACCUCGGAUCAGGUAGGAAUACCCGCUGAACUUAAGCAUAUCAAUAAGCGGAGGA